GACAGAGGAUGCAAGCGUUAUCCGGAAUGAUUGGGCGUAAAGCGUCUGUAGGUGGCUUUUUAAGUCCGCCGUCAAAUCCCAGGGCUCAACCCUGGACAGGCGGUGGAAACUACCAAGCUGGAGUACGGUAGGGGCAGAGGGAAUUUCCGGUGGAGCGGUGAAAUGCGUAGAUAUCGAGAGGAACACCGGUGGCGAAGGCGGCCUUCUGGACAGUGACUGACGCUGAGACGCGAAAGCGUGGGGAGCAAACAGG
rnacentral:rRNA from 1 species